UACGAGGGGGGCGAGCGUUGUUCGGAAUUAUUGGGCGUAAAGGGUGCGUAGGCGGUUUGGUAAGUCUGAUGUGAAAUCUAUGGGCUCAACUCAUAGUCUGCAUCGGAAACUGCCGGGCUUGAGUAUGGGGAGAGGUGAGUGGAAUUCCUGGUGUAGCGGUGAAAUGCGUAGAUAUCAGGAGGAACACCUGUGGCGAAAGCGGCUCACUGGACCAUAACUGACGCUGAUGCACGAAAAGCUAGGGGGAGCAAACAGG
rnacentral:rRNA from 1 species